rnacentral:misc_RNA from 1 species
AUCCUUACGAAAUACGGUCAUCUAGAACUUUUAGUACUGAACGAGCUCCGAAAAGAGAACCGUGAUUUAUCAAAGAAGAGGACCGUCUCAAACGUUUUCCAUCACGACGUUCUCUCGUCUUCUAGCAGUUCUAGUUUGUACGAGUUGUUAAUCUUUUUUUUUUCCUCUUCUCUUCGAAAUAUAAGAUAUUACGUCAUCGGAAACUCGCGCUAAUUUCGCACGUGGCUGUCGUGACUCGAAUCUCCCGGUGUGCGCGUGAACGGGGUAGAGCUAACGCGCCCGAUCGUACGGGGAACAUAUGUAUUAAUCUAACACACGUAAUCGUCCCGCGCGCGCAUGGGGACAUACGUAUGCAAAGACGACGGGACGGACGAACGGACGGGGCUGCCGCGCUAGGUCAUCGGUGUGCCGCGACGGCCACAGCGACGCCAUGUGAUUUCGGGUACUCUCCGAGAGCGCGUCGUUAGGAUUGGUCGACGAGGGACGACGAACAACGCGCGCGCUGUGUGCCGCCGCCGCCGCCGCCGUCGUCGUCGUCGCCGCCGCCGCUUACGGCAUUCCGUGCUUCGUGCUUCCGCCGUCGCGAGCCGGAGGAGCGCGGCGGUGUGCGCAGUGCGCUCCCCACCGCGUGCGCGUAGUGUGCGUAACCCCCGCGCGAGACCGCCAUCUUUGUCAAGUGGGUAACCUUUGUUGAUUUGUGUGAAAUGUGACGCCGUUGUCGCGAGAUAAUUGGUGAUCGUGAUUACGUGUAUCCCGUGUUGUACCCGGUUAUACCCGCGCCCGUCCCGUGCUCUCUGGGGAUUUAUCGAUGGGAUCGCCGUCGCGUGCAGGGUCAGCGCAAUAGCCCGCGGUGAGAACGCGAGGACGCGGUGAGGGAGGUAGCUUAGCAUCCAAGCUGGGAAACCGCAGAAGAAUCGCAGCAGCAGAAUGUAAACGUCCGCCGUUGACCGUGACAUCGCCUUAUUGGCAGGAGGGAAGGUGGAGGUGAAGAGGAGAAGGAAGCACUGGCCGUGACUUGGUCGCCGCCGCCGUCGUCGUCGUCGUCGCCGUCCGCGCCGCCGACGGAGACGCGAUGGACGAGCCCGAGUCGGCCGAGACGUGGUCGGCCUGGUUUCUAGACGCGAUUCGAAAGAUCCGCAGUCAGAAGCAGCGACCGAGUGUUGAAAGGAUAUGUCACGCGAUACGCCAACAUCACAAUUUCCACGAGGAGGAGAUCGCCGAGCACCUCGAGGUCGCCGUAAAGCAAGGCGCCGUGCUCAAAAUCUUCAACAAGGGCCAGUCCUCGUACAAGGACCCGGGCGUUCUCCAAUCCAAGAAGCUUAAGGUCACUAAAUCGACGGACAUCAGCAAGGUCGUGGGGAAGGCUGUGCGCGAGCUCGGCGAGCGCGAGGGCUCGACCCUGAAGAACAUAGAGAGGUACAUUAAGCAGAGUCACAGCGUCGAGGAGGAAAGCGAGGGCGACUUUAGACACGCUCUCAAGCUCUCCGCCAAGCGUGCGGUCGAACGGGGGCUGGUGAUCCAGGAUGGCAAGCUCUUCCGGCAAACGGACAGGCCGCCACACUUCAAGAAGCUCAACGACGCCGCUCAUACGCCACCCGCGGAACCGCCCGCACCCAAGUUGCCGGCUCCAUUGCCGAUAUGCAGAGAGUGCCUCGGUGCCACGAUAGCCGGCAGCAACAACAACAGCAGGCGAAGCGCCAACGAGAAGCUAAGCAGAUGCAGCGUUUGCGGCGCGGCACUGCACAAUUCCUGCGCGCCGCCGGAGCUCUCGAUACUUGUCGAUCGGGGAAUAACCUGGUCUUGCGACGACUGCUCGCCUACCUGUGCUGGCUGUCAACUGGAACAGGAGUCGCAAAAUUAUCUCGUCAAGUGCACCGGCUGCGUCAACUGUUACCAUCCCGCCUGCAUCGAUCCUGCCCUCGACAAGAAAAACAAGGCGCCCUGGAAAUGUCGGCAUUGUCAGACGGCGCACACGCCGAUGAGCAAGGACGAGGGCAAACGGGGCAAGACGCAAGAUGCGAAUUCGGCCGAUGACACGCCGAGGAAGAGGCUUAGCAAGUUACGCGAGAAUCGAAAAUCGAUGGUAUCCAGAAAAAGCCUGAUGAACGUGCAGCCGGGCAAGAAGGGCAACGCGGGAGUGGCUCAGGUGGACAGCAGCACGGACGGUAAUGCGGGUGUUGUCUCCCCUCGUCAACCACCUUUGAUUUCCUCUCCUUUACCACAACCCCCCACCCCACUCGCAGGCCAGGGUAGGCUGCUUGAGGAGAAGUACGACAGGAUCUCGAAGGAGAAGCAAAAGUUCUUUAGAUUGAGCGCAUUUAACGCUGAGCACAAUAAAUUGAAGCGGGUGGGGGGCGGUGAUAAAUCUAGGCCCUCGCGGAACGUUAACGUUAGGUUGACUCGGGGCGCGAGUACUGCGAAUCCGAAGAAAGUCGGAACGUCGCGAGUAUCUAGCAGCAGUAGCAGCAGCAGCAGCGAGGCCGGUAAUAGCAGUGAGAGUUCAGAAGGCAGCGAUAGCAGCGAUGAGGAUGACGAUGAGGACGACGAGGAGGGCAAUAGCUCGAGCGAGAGCAGCGACUCCUCCUCGUCGGACGAAGUCCAGGCUGGGAGAAUCGAGUCUCCCAAGACGAAGGCGCCAUUCGCUUGUGACCUCAAUGAGGACAAGCCGUGGGGCUUCGCCGCUGCCGCCGCCAAGCUAAACGUAGAGUCACCUUUCUUCACCAAUAUCACAAAUACUUUUGGCGCGUCUUUACCUAAACUCAACGUGGGCGAUACGCCGACCUUUGGUUUGCACAUACAACAGCCAGCCAUCGUCAAUUCGUCAGAUAGUAAAAAGAAAGACAAAUCCGAGCGCAACGCCGUACAGACGACUCGCCUCGCGAGUACGGAUAACAAGGCCAAGCCCGGAAGCGGCCAAUUGAGAGGCCUCUUUGACGGCUUGAGUCACUUUUUUUCAGCGUCUGCGAAUAGUAGGGCGAGAUCAGCCGGUGCACCCGCGCCGAAUUACGCGCCAGACCGCAGAAAAAGGCCUAACACGGAAGAUACGGCUAAAACGAACAAAAUUCAGAGAGGCACACAGAGAACUAGAUCGGACGACUCAUCUGGCACAUCUAAACUCAAGGAUCGACAAAAGACUGAAGCUACCACUGAGAUAUCGAGAUUACCGAAACCUGGUAUCUUUGUACCUUCCGACGAGAGUGUAUUAAGUUCGCUUAACGAGAAAUUACCGAAAAUGACACCUUCGGGACUGGUGAAAACCGCAGUGAACAGUAAAAGACACGAGCAUGAGAGGCGAAAGCUGAUGCGAGAUGACGCGUCGCUCGUAAAGUGCGCCGUGGAGCCGUCGUCACCGUCAUCAUCGUCGAGACACGAGCAGCAACAGCAACAACAAUCACGAAAGAAGCAAACAGCGUCGGAUACGAGUACGCAGAUACGCCACCCUGUACCCGCCGUUGCGAAAUCCUCAGGCCUCGGUUCCGAUCCUGUCAAAUCAAAUCCAAAAUCCAAUCCACGAGCCUGUACUAGCGCCACCACCACCAACACCACCACGACACCCCGCGCGACACCCUGCUCCACCAGGAAGGAGGAGCCAAUCGUGCCGCAAACCUUACCGCCAGGAGUCACGCAAAAGGAUGUGGAUCUUAUUACGGAGGCGCGAGAGAGGGCUCGACAGACGGUUAGCACCGACGAGAACGAACAGCAGUUGUGUGUUAGCACGCCGAAUGCGUCCGGCAACGCACCGCGAAAUCCCGCUGCGAUAGUAUUUGGUCGAUACGAAGUAGAGACAUGGUAUUCCAGUCCGUUCCCUCAAGAAUACGCGCGACUACCCAAGUUAUUCUUCUGCGAAUUUUGUCUCAAAUACACAAAGAGUCGGGCUGUACUGGACAGGCACAUGGACAAGUGUCAGUGGAGGCAUCCACCUGCCACCGAGAUUUAUAGAUGCGAUGGAUUGUCCGUAUUUGAGAUCGAUGGUAACGUAAACAAAAUAUACUGUCAAAAUCUGUGCUUAUUGGCAAAAUUAUUUUUGGAUCACAAGACUCUCUAUUACGACGUAGAGCCAUUUCUCUUUUACGCCAUGACUAAAAAUGACAAAUACGGCUGUCACUUGGUUGGUUACUUUAGUAAAGAGAAACACUGUCCGGCUCAGAGGUACAAUGUAUCCUGCAUUAUGACCCUGCCGCAGUAUCAACGACAAGGUUUCGGCAGGUUUCUCAUAGAAUUUAGUUACCUGUUAUCCAAGGUCGAGGGCAUUCCAGGAACGCCAGAGAAACCGCUUUCGGAUCUUGGUCGAGUAUCUUAUCAUUCCUUCUGGAAGAGCGUAGUGCUCGAGUACCUUGAUGCGCAUCGGAACGAUACCGACAUCAAGCUGAGCGAUAUCACAAAGAUGACUGGCGUGUCAGCGCACGAUAUCGCCACAGCAAUGCAAUUGCUCGGAUUUAUAAGGUCAGUUCAUCUGCCAGGAGAUGCGAUCACUAAUAAAGUGGCUGUGGUAGUCGAUUGGAGCAAGGUAGAUGCUCACGUGGCGAAAGUACGAAAAAAUGUCCGCAUCAAACUGGAUCCCGAUUGUCUCAGAUGGAUACCAUUGCUUGCGCAAAUCCCUAAUCCGUAUCAGAAUCAGGAGGAGAAUGGCGACACUAGCAUGGAAACGACUCCUGCAGUGGAGCCUAAGCCAGUGCCAGCUGUUGUGGAGAAGAUACAAAGAGUGAAAAUAAAGAAAAAACCUCGAGGUAGAAGGGUAGGCCAAAGGAAAUCGUCACCCUUAAAAUCGACAUCUUUAAAAUCGACACCUUUAAAAUCGACACCUUUGAAGUCGACACCUUUGAAAUCGACACCUUUGAAAUCGACGCCUUUAAAAUCGACACCUUUAAAACCGAAGGCUUUGCAGAAGACUGCAAGUGCUUCUCAUAAAGACGCACCCAAAGAAGAGAAGGACGUUAAAGACGCGAAGGAGAUCAAGGCGACGAAAGAGUUGCGAGAGCCGAAAGAAUCCGUAAGAGAAAGCCGUAAUGUCACGAGCACAGAGAAUCGAAAGGAUUCUCGUAUGGAAACGGAAGCCAAGAGCAUAACGUCUACACCGAGAAAUGUGCGCGCUUUUGGCUCCACAAGAAACGCAACUCCAACGACAUCACCAAAAUCAACGCAAAUAACGACAAUGUCGAAGAGAAGAAUCAGACCACCUAAGACAUUUUUGUCCGAAUCGGUCAUUACGCCUUUGAGAAAACGAAAACAUUCCGAGAAGAUUGAGGCUGAGGAAGAAAAAGGGGAGGUCAGUAGUAGGAAGAGGACACGAGAAUCUCUGAGGGAAAAAGAAAAAGAAAGAGAACGGGAAACGGAACGAGAGCGCGAGAGGGAGAAGGACAAAACAAGAGAGAAGGAUAUUAAACUGAGAGACAGAGAAUCUCUGAAAGAAACUACGGUAGAUACUAGAAAAACGCCUCCAAAAUUAGAUUCCAUGCCGAGUCCGCCUAAACCGGCAAAGAAACAGUGUAAAGUAGAUGAUAUUUUGUUGAAAGUUACCAGCAGACAAACUAAGUACAUGCAAGCGAAGGAGAAGAAAGCUUUGGAGGAGAUAACACAGUGUAAUGGUAAAGAGGAAAUACGAGACGUUAAAAGUUUGCCACUGUCCAGGCGAGGUAGAGGUAGUAAAGCGACGGUGGAAGCUUUGAAGAUGCCGCAGCUCACGCCAGAGUCUCCCAGUGCAAAGAAUAGAGCCGAAAGUCCUGUGAUACCGCCUCCCUCGUUAUCUCCACCGCCCGAAUCAGUGACGAGAUCUCCCGUUCGAAACAAGCAACCGUCUAUGCCGAAGUCCCCACCCUCUACGAAGGACUCUGGUAACAGUGACAACAAGAGCGAGAGUGCGGAGGAUAAUGGUUUACCUGCUCCCGCGGAGACGGAAGUGGUAUCCGCGAGUUCUGGCGAAUAUGAGGGUGGCGACGAAGAUGACGGGGAAGAGGAAGAAGUAGUCACACCGACGCCUAAACUCGUGACGCAAUCGGCAUCGCCUAGCACGGAGAACCCCGCGAAAGAAUCAUAUGAGGACGAAAAACCAGAUAACAAAAUUCAGGAGAAGGACAACGACGAGAACUUGUCGCAGAAAGUGGAAGCGGCGGCAGAUUUAUCACCAACAGUCGGCGACGAUCAGACUGAAAUUUUAAAUGAAUGUGAUAAGGACUCCGAGAUUGAUAAACGUCCAGUUUGCAGUCCGGAGGCAUCGAAAUCAGUACCUGAACCAGUUGCUUCACCAAAAGAGGAGGAAAUCGAGAAGUCUGAGAGUAGUGUUAUAUCGAAGGACGGCCGUGAUAGUCCUCCCAAAGAGGAGCUCGUUUGCGAAACGCUGAAGGAUCCCAAGAUCGAUCUGUCGCGACCGAAAACUGAACCCUUAGUUGUGGAGAAGAAGGACACGUGCGAUCUCGUUAAUGCGGUGGUGACGUCGGAAGCCGAGCCUCUUACACCGCGAGAGAAAACGUUGCCCGCUGUUUCGGAACAUCAGGACACGACUUUACAGUUGCAGAAUCAAACGGAAGAACUGAAACAGCAUUCGCCUGAAAGCGGUAAAACCACACCGCAUCUGGAGAAUCCGGGCUCGGUGAAGAGGACACCGCCAUCGCAACCGGAUUUGCCAUCUAUGGGAGUCUAUACCCCGGACUCAACGACCAACUCUGUGCAUUCACUGCAUUAUAGCCAGUGCGAUCUGGAUGUGAGUCAGUUGGGCCUGGAAUCGCCUACUUCUAUAGCCAGCGACCUCGCGUCGCAAAAUAGUGUGGAAAGACCGCCCAGUGCUUUACCAUCUAUCCCACCGCCUACGAACGUGCCGAUUUCAGUUUCUAUGCAGAUCGCGACGCCAGUUACGUCGUCGGUGCCAGCAGUGAAUAUGCAGCAGCAAGUGCAGUACACUGACUGUUCGAUGUCGCAGCAUACGCCACCCGCUCAUCAUCCGAACAUUCAUCCGAUGCAUCAGCCGCACACUCCACAAUCUCUUCAGCAACCGCGCACUCCGCAAAGCAUCCCGACGCAAAGCCCGCAGCCGCUUCCGCAGAGCCAUACGCCGCAACCGUUGCCACCGUCCCACACGCCACAGAGUAUACCUACGCAGAGUCCACAACCUUUGCCGCAAAGCCAUACGCCGCAGCCAUUGCCUCAAUCGCACACGCCACAACCGAUGCAGUUAUCGCUGCAAGCGCAGCAGGCACAGAGUCAAAAUAUGGCGCACAGUCAAUCUCAACAGACACAGUCGCAGCAACAACAACAACAACAACAAUCUGCGCAUCAACAUCAGUCACAAUCUCAACAGCAAUCGCAACAGCAGACUCAACAAUCUCAAUCACACAGCAAACGUGCCAGUGGUUCACAGACUACUCAUAGAUCCAGGUCGACGCAACAGAGUAGCAGGUCGCAUCGAGCCACUCCACCAACGUCUCACACCAGCCAGACCUCUCAGCACAGCGCCGCAACGUCUAGUAGCCAUAGCACUGUGACGCAUACCACGCAUGUUGCAAUUCCACCGCAGUAUUCGCAGCAAUCCCCGUCGAUGAGCGUGCCGUCGGCAGUGCCGCAUCCGCACUCGCACACUCCGCAUGCUGCGCAUUCACACAAUAUGGCGGUGAUCUCGCAAGGCAACUACAUGGCAGUAGCAGCGGGCUCGCAAGGUUUCCCCACGCAGAACACCUACGUGAUUCAGCAUCGUAGCGGCCGGUCCGGCGCGCCGACGCCCUGCACCACCGCCACGAAUUUCUACAUUCAGACGAGCGCGAUGCCACCGCAUUCGCACACCCCGGCACCAACCCCGCUCUCCGCCUCUGGCAGCCAUCAGACGACCAAUUCGUGCAGUCUAGCAAAGCUGCAACAACUGACCAAUGGUCUGGACAUGGUACCGCCUACGCCGCCACCGGCGAUGAACCUCACGCCGCCACCACCUAUCCCACACACCAUGACGCCACCGCAGACGUCGCGGCAGCUACCAACCCCACCACAAGUUGGACCUUUGGGUUACGCGAAGAACUAUUACAACAAUUUGCAGGUCAAUACCGUGCCACCACCUGGCACGCCCGGACCGCCCAGCCGAUCGACCUCACGCUCGUCCUCGAACAAUAUGCCGACACUCGCGCAGCCAUAUUCCAGCGAAAGUCUCUACCGGCAGACCCUCGAUCCGGGUAGUACCUGCCCACAGAUGCAGAGCGCCGCGAGCCGCGUCAGCCCGAAUGUCGCUCUCAACACGAAUCUCAUGGCAGCCGCUCAGUACGGUUACCGAGUGGCGCAACCAGCGACCGGUUAUAUGAAUCAGGCGGCACAACUUGGUGGUUUCAUGAAUCAGGCGAGCCAGCUUCCGGUCGGCGUGGUGAACGUACCGACACCGUAUCCGCAGGAUCCGCACCAGCAGAACCCGGCGGCUGUUUACACUACGUACCACGGCUAUAUCAACGGCGGUCUUAUGCAGCCGCUUAACAGCUCCAUGAGGCCACGCUAGCCAUCGCGAUCAUCGCCUAUUCCGAUCGGACCGAUCUCUCUCGAUGUUUUGACAAACGAACGAAUGUCUUCGCGCGACAAGUUAACGCUCUCUUCGAUACGACCUUUGACGGUGACUCAUCGUCGAUCUCCUACUAUGUGACCGACAUCGCGGGUACCCCAUGGAGCCUCCGAAGAUGAUGGUGCUCUCUGCGAGCAUAAAACGGCAUACAUCGACAGUCGCAACAUGGACAGUGCGGCAGAUUGCGAGAGAACUUAGUGACACGCUUGUAAAAGAAGUAGAAUCUACUAUGUUCAGCAGUCUGUUCAAGCACACAACCGUAUUUUAGUUCUUUAUCUUGACCCAGUUAAAAUCGCGAAUGACUAGUGUAUUAACGUGUUUUAUGUACGCCAGUAUAUACGAAAUCGUUAUGCGAAUAUGCAUGCUCGUUACUGUUUUAACUGCACAUUUUAUUUCAGAGCAACAAGAAGGUGAAAAAGUAAGGGAGAGAUAAUUAAUAUUGAUACGGCCCUUCUGCCUCUGUACCCACGCUCGUCGACAGCGGGAUGUUUUUCUUUUUGAGGAAGGCUCGUAUUAAACUGAUUCUUAACUUGUCGACAAAGAUUGCACACAAGGUACAAUUUAAUCAUAGUUAUCGAUUGGUGAUUCUUCGGAGGCACGAGUUUGUAUACUUGUGCGUUUAAAGUAGAAGGAAAAGGAAAGAAGGAAGGGAGAAGAUACCUUGGACGUUAACGUUCGAUCGGCCAAGGUAGCGCGCAUGAAAAUCGCUAAUUUGAAAGAAAGAAGGAAAAAAAAGGGGGAGGGUGAGAGAAAAAAAAAUGCGGACACCUAUUUUUAGUAGGGCAUUCCUUCGUGAAACCGCAGCAGUGUUACGUUUUAUGUAUUUAUAUAUAUAAAUAUAUAUAAAUAUAUUUACGAAUAAUAUUCUGUUUGAUAUUAUCAAUUGUUGAACAUUGUUGUUUAAGUUGGCACACUUGUACUUUACUGUAUCAUAAAAAAGAAAAAAAUAACUGUGCGUAACGCUAUGAUAAUCCUCAUUGUAUUAUUACGAAAAGUCGAUUACUUGUCGCCGACAUCGUCUCACCAGUGUAAAAUUGUCAAUCUCGAUUGUCAGCGCCAUCGUUUACAUGAUUUUUAUCCAUUGUUAUUAUUAUCAUUAAUAAUCAUUAACUAUUGUGACAAAUGAUGAAACGAACACAAAACAACAUACACACAUACUCACGUACUUUCACACAGAAAAUGUAAUCAUACGCUAUAUUUUAAUUGUCACAUACAUGUCACACGUUCAUUCGGUAUUCAUUAUUGUAUGUUUUUAUUAUCUAAUAUCGCGAGAAGGUAGCUCUAGUUACGGAAAGAAUAACGGAGCGCGUAAUUAGGCUCUUCCACGAAGCGUCGCGAAACUCGUGCCGAAAUUAUUUUUUGUAUCGAAAUCACGAGAGGAAGCGUGCGCGUACGUCGAUUUUUCCCCUUCGCGAAGUGAAGGAAGGAAAGGAACAACGGUGGCGUAAACGUGUUGUCCCGAACACAUUACCUUGAACCGCGUAAUUUCCCUCCCUCGUUGUGGGCGACGCUUCGCGGAACGGUCGUAACGACAAAAAAAUAAUAUAUUUAUGGUACGAAACGUUACGAGUUUAAUUUUUUCAGACGAAAGAACGAAAAAAAAAAACGAAAAAUUGGCGGAUCGCCUAGGUUAGAGUAAUUGAAUGAUAAGAUAAUUAAUAAUGUAUAAAAAUACAUCAAUAUUUAUUGUACAUAGAUCUAAAAAAGACUACUAACAAA